GGUGAUUCAUGAUAACUUAACGGAUCGCAUGGCCUUGCGCCGGGCGACGGUUCAUUCAAAUUUCUGCCCUAUCAACUUUCGAUGGUAAGGUAUUGGCUUACCAUGGUUUCAACGGGUAACGGGGAAUUAGGGUUCGAUUCCGGAGAGCGAGCCUGAGAAACGGCUAGCACAUCCAAGGAAGGCAGCAGGCGCGCAAAUUACCCAAUCCCGACACGGGGAGGUAGUGACAAUAAAUACUGAUACAGGGCUCUUUUGGGUCUUGUAAUUGGAAUGAGUACAAUUUAAACCUCUUAACGAGGAACAAUUGGAGGGCAAGUCUGGUGCCAGCAGCCGCGGUAAUUCCAGCUCCAAUAGCGUAUAUUAAAGUUGUUGCAGUUAAAAAGCUCGUAGUUGAAACUUGGGUCUGGCUGGCAGGUCCGCCUCACCGCGUGUACUUGUCCGGCCGGGCCUUCCUUCUGGAGAACCUCAUGCCCUUCACUGGGCGUGUUGGGGACCAGGACUUUUACUUUGAAAAAAUUAGAGUGUUCAAAGCAGGCCUUUGCUCGAAUACGUUAGCAUGGAAUAAUAAAAUAGGACGUGCGGUCCUAUUUUGUUGGUUUCUAGGACCGCCGUAAUGAUUAAUAGGGACAGUCGGGGGCAUCAGUAUUCAAUUGUCAGAGGUGAAAUUCUUGGAUUUAUUGAAGACUAACUACUGCGAAAGCAUUUGCCAAGGAUGUUUUCAUUAAUCAGUGAACGAAAGUUAGGGGAUCGAAGACGAUCAGAUACCGUCGUAGUCUUAACCGUAAACUAUGCCGACUAGGGAUCGGGCGAUGUUCUUUUUCUGACUCGCUCGGCACCUUACGAGAAAUCAAA
rnacentral:rRNA from 1 species